rnacentral:tRNA from 1 species
ACCUGGGUGGCUCAGUGGUUGAGCAUCUGCCUUUGGCUCAGGUUGUGAUCCCGGGUUCCUGGGAUCGAGUCCCACCUCAGGCU